UGACCGCAUCCCGGGCCUUCCCGCUGCUCCUCGGUGGCCCGCUCGGGCUCGGUGUGCGGGAACAGCCAUGCAUGCCCGUGCCUCCGUGGUUCCAGUCCUUCCCUGUCGUGACCUCUGCCCGGCGCCUCUACGGUGCAGAGCUUUCAGCCUUUGCGAGGAUUUAAACAAUAAGCCCGCACCUUCUCCCAGUCCAGCGCCCAGCAGAAGCGACCCUGGCUCAAUCUUUUCCCUGGGUCCUGACUUCCAGGGCCUCAUUGAGUAACACAUGCAGUGCCCCUCGCUUUGUCACGGCCACCCUGGAAAAUGGAAAGGGCAGGGCUUGGUACCCCUAUUUUACCCCUGGCAGUUGAGAUCAGAAAAGAAAAGAGAUUUUUCUCAGGUUAAUCAGGACCAGAACGGGUCAUGUGGCCCCGGGUUCAUUUUGACUAUACUUGCCAUCUUAGGGUAGCUCCUGCUUGACUGUUUUCUCAGUUUUUAAUGUCAAUUGUGCUCUCGGCUGCUGGCGUUGCCCUUGAGAGUAAUUCACCUGAAUUAUUUCUACAGAAGCAUGACCAGUGUAAAAGUCCCUCCCAGAAUGAUUGACACCAAAGGAGGCUUCAUUUUAGAAGAGGAGGAGGAAGAGGAACACAAGAUUGGAAAUGUUGUUCAUGAACCAGGGCCCGUCAUGGAGUUUGAUUAUGUGGUCUGUGAAGAAUGUGGGAAAGACUUCAUGGACUCGUAUCUUAUGAACCACUUUGAUUUGCCGACGUGUGAUAGCUGCAGAGAUGCUGAUGACAAACACAAGCUUAUAACCAAAACCGAAGCCAAGCAGGAAUACCUUCUGAAAGACUGCGAUCUAGAGAAGAGAGAGCCUGCGCUUCGGUUUAUCGUGAAGAAGAACCCUCGUCACUCACAGUGGGGCGAUAUGAAGCUCUACUUAAAGUUACAGGUUGUAAAGCGGGCUCUGGAAGUUUGGGGUAGCCAGGAAGCCCUAGAAGAUGCCAAGGAAGUGAGGCAGGAAAACCGAGAAAAGAUGAAGCAGAAGAAGUUUGAUAAAAAAGUAAAAGUGUUUUCAUUAGCCUCUCCUCUAACAGCAGAGCCAUGGCUAAUACAAGAUACAGCAGUGAAGAGGCGCUUAGUGAGGAAGGGGUGUGGAAGGAGGCCUCCAGGUUAUCCGCUGACUCGGUGUGUGUGUGCGCGCACUCUCUCUCUCUCGUGUGCAGUAUCUGUGUGCAGUGCACACAUCAGUGCAUGUGCAUUUGGAAGCUGGAGGCCAUCUUACGCCUUUGUGAUAGGGUCUCUUCACUGAACAUAAGGCUGCCAUUGGCUAGGCUGGCCGGCCAGUGAGCUCCCAGGGUUGCUGGAGAUCCACCUGUCCUCUACACCUCUCCACAUCCAGUGCUGAGGCUAGAGCAGCUAUGCUCGUUUUUUCAGUGUGGUGCUGGGGAAUUCAAACCCAGUUUCUCAUCCUGCACUCACCCACUGGGCUGGGGGAUUCUCAGAUCACUGCAGUGUAAGCCAUCUCCCCGCCCAAGUCCAGGGUUUCAAUCCAGCUGCUCGAAAUCAGCCAGACCCUGCGGACCUCAGGUGAUACCGUAGUGCAGACAGUGAAGUGUAGAUAAAAGAAUAAGGACCAAUCAGAAAUCUGUAUCUGCAGAGUGACAAAGAACACUGUAACUUUUCCUUAGACACUAGUUCUGUGGUCUGGUCAAGAUGUCAUGUAAUGGUAACUCAAUUCCUACAGUUUAACUAGUAAAAGACUAUGAGAUGCACUUAAUUUCUUGCCUUUUUAAUAUGAUGAUUCUCUUAGGAUAUGCAUAUAUAUUAAUACAGAUAGAAAUUUUCUACAAUUUCCAAAACAUGAACUCAAUUGGUGUUUACUUUUUGGUCGCUGUAUUAGCUCACCAGACAAACUACCAUGGAGUUUCCUCAUUGCUUAGUUGCAGUUGACACAGGUUCUUUUGAAGAUUGAUUUAUUGGGUUCAUCUAUUUGGGUGAAGCAUGCUUUUUAAGGGAAUGUUUGUGCGAGUGUGUACUCUGCACAUGGUGUCUACAGAUAGAGUGCCUGCCAUUUCCCCCUUUGCAUACGAGUGUGUGAGUGCUGGGCGGCCUGCGUCAUCUCCUUAUCUUGGGCUGUCAGUGUGCUGAGGUCAGUGCGAUGCCUCCUUUAAUUGUGGCUUCUCUGAUUCACUCUAGCGCUUGGUGGAUAUGUUCCUGUCCUGACUAGGCCACAGAGGGCUGAGUGGAGUAGACUGUAGAGUAGAAACGAGAAGCUGAUUGUGCAGUUUGCUCAGAGCAGACAGGAGUCAAAGCAAGUCGAAAGGCUUUUUAGGUGGAAAGAAAUUGGAACAUGGUUCCUCUUGAUGAACAGCGAAGCUGACAUAAAGCUUUCUUCUUUAUGGGAAGAAUUGCGGAGAGCAGUAAGAAGCAGUGUGUGGAAAAGAGAAACAGCUGCUCACCAACAUGAGUAUGGACCAGAGGAAAACUUAGAAGAUGACAUGUACCGCAAGACUUGUACC